rnacentral:ncRNA from 1 species
CUGUGGUAGAAGCUGUAACCCUACGCAGUGAUAACUACUACAUCUUAUCAUAUGAGAGAUGUCGAAAAUUCAAUUUCACAUUCUGCUGGCGUAUUUUGAAUUCGUAUCCAAAGCCGGGAGCAACUUUUUCACAGAAAGAAAUGUUUAGAAGAAGAGAACAUAGAGUGCUACGAUAACUCCUCCAAAACAUAAAUUGUAUAGGACGAAAAAACGCUAAAUAAUGCAUCACAUAGCUGGCUUACCCGCUGAUAUUUAGAAAAAUUGUCUGCGCUAUCAACCUGAUGGUAGUCUAUAAGCUUACCAUGGUUAUUACGGGUAACGGAGAAUAAGGGCUCCACUCUGGGGAGGGAGCCUUACAGUUAGAAACGGUAACCACUUCCAAGGAGACAGCAGGCGCGAAUCUUAUCCAGUCUUGAAUAGAUGAGAAAAUGGCUAGAAUUAAGAAAACCGUUUCUAUAGGAUGGUCAUUCGUCUGAGUUGAUCAUGAACCUUUCUUCGAGGAUCAAGUGGAAGGCAAUUCUGGGUGCCAGCAGCCGGGAUAAUUUUAAUUCCACUAG